ensembl:lncRNA
GUCAAAUCUCAAUCAAGCGGGACGAGACAUACUGCUGCAUAGUGUCACGGCUUUGAUUUCUGAAGACAGAAACCUAGCUAUGCAUUGGAAGUAGUACAGAUGUUACUGCAAAGCAAACAGCUGUCCUCCGUGGCCUUCCUGUCAUCCUUGGAGAUGAGAACACAGACUUCUUCAAGACAUGCUUUGACUGCGAUGACACAGGCAUGUCUCACAUCCCCAUUGGAAUCCUGACCAUUGUUCCUGAGGACGAACAGCUCUCCCUUGACUCACUGCACCUUCAGACUUCAGGUACCGCAAUCAUUUUGGAAGGAAGAAUUGUGAUGGAUGACUUUGAAAAUCUGCCAUGUGCUUGCUCUUUGGACUUACUUACACCCUGAAUUUGGAGUACCCUGAACAGCUGAAGUACACCUUUCACUUCAUUCAAAGGGUGCUUCUCUCACUUGGACAUAAAUCCCUAAAACCAAAAAUACAAUCACUCAAAAAUCUUCUGAUGCAAUGAGUGAAUGUAAUCAUGAUGUGACAUCUUGGGUCACAUUGACACCUUUACCUUAUUGGAAAAAUGAUACUUUUUUCUUGUUUUAGCCUUUUUUGUGGGAAGGAGCCUCAUCGCCCUUUUUAGACUACUGAAUGGUUUUUAUGUUCAUGAGGAGAAAAAUGAACACCUACUUUCCUUUUAGCUUUUGUUUUUCCUUUUGUGUUGAUGCUGAAAUGAUUGUGGUGAUAUUGAUUACCAGCAUCAGGUUCUUUAGCAAGUUAUCUCUGACUUAAUAUAUGUUGUAAGUCAAUCUCUACUGCACUUCUAAACUCAACCACUAAGAAUUUAAAUCAGAAAGCUUUUAGCAGUUUUUAGCGGGAGCUGGCUCAAACAUAAGAAUUACAGUUGCACAUUCAGGUGAAAUAAUGAUUUUAUUUUGCAAUCAUGCAAUAGGUGGAUUGUAAACAGUUGAGCUAUGUCUGCUGUUCACUUUAUUGAUGUUAAGAUAAAUGUUAGGCCCUGCAAUUACUGAGUUUAUCUGUAGUUCACACCAUAGUCAACAGAUAUAUUAAGCAGGAAUUCUCAAAGUUUUAAUGACUGAGGGCUGUUUUAGGGACUCAAUAUUAGAUUGAAGGCCGCCCAAGAAAAAACUCGUGUCACUUUUUUUCUGAAAAAAAUAGUCUUUUAUAUUACAUGCUUUCUAUGUAAUACAAAAAAAACAUUUUUUAAUAAUUUUACAUGGUUUUAUGACUUUUUGGCAAGUUCCUGCAAUUUUUGCAUUACGGCGUGAUUUAGCCUAUUUUCCACUUUGUAUUGUGAUACACUAUAUUGGGG